CUGGCGGCAGGCCUAACACAUGCAAGUCGAGCGGAUGACGGGAGCUUGCUCCUUGAUUCAGCGGCGGACGGGUGAGUAAUGCCUAGGAAUCUGCCUGGUAGUGGGGGACAACGUUUCGAAAGGAACGCUAAUACCGCAUACGUCCUACGGGAGAAAGCAGGGGACCUUCGGGCCUUGCGCUAUCAGAUGAGCCUAGGUCGGAUUAGCUAGUUGGUGGGGUAAUGGCUCACCAAGGCGACGAUCCGUAACUGGUCUGAGAGGAUGAUCAGUCACACUGGAACUGAGACACGGUCCAGACUCCUACGGGAGGCAGCAGUGGGGAAUAUUGGACAAUGGGCGAAAGCCUGAUCCAGCCAUGCCGCGUGUGUGAAGAAGGUCUUCGGAUUGUAAAGCACUUUAAGUUGGGAGGAAGGGCAGUAAGUUAAUACCUUGCUGUUUUGACGUUACCGACAGAAUAAGCACCGGCUAACUCUGUGCCAGCAGCCGCGGUAAUACAGAGGGUGCAAGCGUUAAUCGGAAUUACUGGGCGUAAAGCGCGCGUAGGUGGUUUGUUAAGUUGGAUGUGAAAGCCCCGGGCUCAACCUGGGAACUGCAUCCAAAACUGGCAAGCUAGAGUACGGUAGAGGGUGGUGGAAUUUCCUGUGUAGCGGUGAAAUGCGUAGAUAUAGGAAGGAACACCAGUGGCGAAGGCGACCACCUGGACUGA
rnacentral:rRNA from 1 species